AUGCAAGUCGAGCGAGCUUGCCUAGAUGAUUUUAGUGCUUGCCACUAAAUGAAACUAGAUACAAGCGAGCGGCGGACGGGUGAGUAACACGUGGGUAACCUGCCCAAGAGACUGGGAUAACACCUGGAAACAGAUGCUAAUACCGGAUAACAACACUAGACGCAUGUCUAGAGUUUGAAAGAUGGUUCUGCUAUCACUCUUGGAUGGACCUGCGGUGCAUUAGCUAGUUGGUAAGGUAACGGCUUACCAAGGCAAUGAUGCAUAGCCGAGUUGAGAGACUGAUCGGCCACAUUGGGACUGAGACACGGCCCAAACUCCUACGGGAGGCAGCAGUAGGGAAUCUUCCACAAUGGACGAAAGUCUGAUGGAGCAACGCCGCGUGAGUGAAGAAGGGUUUCGGACUGUAAACUUCUGAUCUAAGGGAAAAAGAAAGUGAUGGUACCUUAGGAGAAAGCCACGGCUAACUACGUGCCAGCAGCCGCGGUAA
rnacentral:rRNA from 1 species